AUUGAACGCUAGCGGGAGGCCUUACACAUGCAAGUCGAACGGAGCGGCGAACGGGUGAGUAAUGCAUAGGAACGUGCCUGGUAGCGGGGGAUAACUACGCGAAAGCGUCGCUAAUACCGCAUACUAUUGGAGCGGCCGAUCUCGGAUUAGCUAGUUGGUGGGGUAACGGCUCACCAGGGCGACGAUCCGUAUCUGGUUUGAGAGGACGAACAGCCACACUGGAACGGAGACACGGCCCAGACUCCUACGGGAGGCAGCAGUGGGGAAUUUUGGACAAUGGGGGAAACCCUGAUCCAGCCAUCCCGCGUGUGCGAUGAAGGCCUUCGGGUUGUAAAGCACUUUAAGUAGGGAGGCGGUACCUGCAGAAUAAGCACCGGCUAACUACGUGCCAGCAGCCGCGGUAAUAC
rnacentral:rRNA from 1 species